AACGAACGCUGGCGGCGUGCCUAACACAUGCAAGUCGAACGAGAAUUUUCCUUUCGGGGAGAUAGUAAAGUGGCGCAAGGGUGAGUAACACGUGAAUAAUCUGCCUACGAAUUCGGGAUAACGCGGGGAAACCUGUGCUAAUACCGGAUAAGACCACGUCUCUUAUGUGAUGUGGCCAAAGGAGUCUCAAACUCCGUUUGUAGAUGAGUUCGCGGACCAUUAGCUUGUUGGAGGGAUAACAGCCCCCCAAGGCGACGAUGGUUAGCCGGCCUGAGAGGGUGAUCGGCCACACUGGAACUGAGACACGGUCCAGACUUCUACGGAAGGCAGCAGUAAGGAAUAUUGGACAAUGGAGGCAACUCUGAUCCAGCCAUGCCGCGUGCAGGAAG
rnacentral:rRNA from 1 species